AUAAAUAAUUUUCAGUCAUGUGAAUAUAAUGACUAAGUGGUUAAAGACAAAUUACAGAACAGCUAGAACAGUCUGGUGGGUUCAUAAAAUGACAUCGCUUUACUGUAAUGCUGCCUUUAAAACCAG